GAGCCCGUAGCUCAGCUGGUAGAGCAUACGACUUUUAAUCGUAGGGUCGUGAGUUCGAUUCUCACCGGGCUCA
rnacentral:tRNA from 1 species